ensembl:snoRNA
AUCCAAGGUGAUUCCCUCUCCAAGGAUCCAACUAAUGCCCUUUCCAGAAAUGUAGCAACGUGGAAGAAACCUGGCAUGCGUAAGGUCCUUGGAGCAAAUGGGACACCUGUUUCCUUUGCCUUCCUUUGGCUGCUUACAUAC